GAGUAAUACAUCGGAACGUGUCUUGAAGUGGGGGAUAACGCAUCGAAAGAUGUGCUAAUACCGCAUAUACUCUGAGGAGUAAAGUAGGGGAUCGAAAGACUCUAUGUUUUGGAGCGGCCGAUGUCUGAUUAGCUAGUUGGUGGGGUAACUGCCUACCAAGGCGACAUCAGUAGUUGGUGUGGAGGA
rnacentral:rRNA from 1 species